AUUGAUAUCAGGCAGGACAGGAACUGACUGCGUGAACUGAACUAACAGACUGGAGUGAUCUUUUUGAUGUUUUGCUCGGAAUAUUGUUGGUCCUUUGUUUGCUUUUCAGAGUCAAAGAGGCUUUUCUUUUGAGCUAUCAACAGCUUUUGACAGUUUGGUGUGCUCCCAUGAACAAAAUUUGAGGCAUGCUUAUUUCUCUCUGCCUGGUUUUCUCCCGAGUCUGGAAACUACCUGCCAGGAACCCCAGGUUAUCUUGGAGCCUCAAGAGUGGAAGAAUUCACCCAACUCACAGCUGGAGAUCACUAAAACCUAAGCUGUGCUUUCUUGAAGCCCUGUGAGCUGAAAAUUAGAUGUUUCAGUGGGCGCUGCCUCUGGGCCUCUGAGGCAGAGUGUGCUACCCAGAACAAAUCGACCUCUUCCACUCCAGCACCAUGUUCAGUGUCCCAUAACGACAACCCUCUCUCAGCAGGAAGUAGCCAGAAAGAGCACGUCGCCCCUCAUCCUUUUAUAACUAUAGGGUCUGGAUUGACAAAGCAGGAGCAUCAACAUUUUGGACAAACAGCAGCAUUUUAAGUUCCCCUUGAUUAAAAACCGCCUAAAUCCAGCCCCCAAAAAAUCAGCCUAAUGGCUGUCAGCAUGACCAUAAACCACAAAUGACACCUCCAAUCAGAAACAUUCCAACCCUGAGAUAAAGCGCCCUCCAACCAGAAACAUUCCUACCCCGAAAUCAAACACUCCUCUGACCAGAAACAUUCCCAACCUGCGAUAAGCUCUCCCUCCCUAAACCCUUAAAUACCCUUAGUCUGUAAGAGAGAGUGCUCCUGACAGCAAUCGGCCAGAAGCCCCUCUCAGGUUUAUUCUCCAAAAUAAACCUGUCUUGGACUGUUGAGCCA